GCAAAAAAAAAAAAAAAAAAAAAAAAAAAAAAAAAAAAAAAAAA
rnacentral:ribozyme from 13 species